rnacentral:lncRNA from 1 species
CCACCAUUCAUGGCAAAUGGGAACUUGCAGAUAUUCUCUCUAUUAGGUUGGUCAGCAUUUCUAAACUAUUUCUCAUUGAUAAUCGCCAACAUUUAUUGAGUGCUACAAUGUGCCACACGGUUGGGUUCUACCUCAUUCAACACUCCCAGAGCCCCAUGUGGUGUAGGUGCUGUUACUAUCUCCAUGUUAAAGACGUGGAAACCGAGGCACAGAGAACCGAUGUUCUGGUUGUCACUGCAAAAUGAGCCAUCCCAGCACUUAAUGCUUAAAACGACAGUCAUCAUCUCUCAUGGUUUUAGGGGUCAGGAAUUCAGGAGGGGCGUGGCUGUGCAGUCCUGGCUUGGGCUCGCUCAUGUGAUUGUUGGCCGCAGGUAGCUGGAGUUAGAACAAUGGGGAUUGUGAGAACCAGGGAACUGAAGCAGCGUGGGGCUGGCAUGGCCUCUCCAUUUAGUCUUGGGAUCCUUCCCUGUGAUCCUGGGCUUCCUCACAGCAUGGCAGUCUCAGGGCAGUCAGGCUGCUUACCUGGCAGCACGGAGCUCCAGGUGACCAGGCCCUCCAUCUGCCUUCAUCUGAACAGAGGGGGACUCAUGCCCACCCCCCACCUGUUGAAAGCAGCUGCUUUGAAAAACAGUUGAUGAGGAACCUUCAGCUGGAAGAAUGAAAUCAACAAGACGACUUCUACAAACUGAUCGGACGUUCCCUCCUGCACUCCUUCACCAACCACACACUUAAAAUCAAAGUUACAGAUGUUCCAAAGGAUGCCCUUGGGAAAUUAGUGCCAGAGUCUGACAACAGGGAGAAAAGAUUAUGUUUAAUAAACAUAUUUUAUGCUAACUCUUUGAAAACAGGUAAUCUUAUACUAAUUCUCUGAAAACAGGUAAUCAUUGAAUGACAUCUUUCACAUCUCACACACACGUACAUAGUGUUAAAAAGUUAUUUAGGACACUUGUUAAAGACAAUAAGACAGACUAUUCAAGAGGGGCUUCUGCAGUGGGGUUUUGUUUGGGAGAGAAACUGGACUCAACUCCACUUUAACAAGGACAAGUGGG